UCUGAUUUCUGUGUCUCUGUCA
rnacentral:miRNA from 1 species